GAUGAACGCUGGCGGCGUGCCUAACACAUGCAAGUCGAACGGAAGGACCCUAAGCUUGUGCGUUUGCUGUUAGCGGAAGGCGGGAGAGUAACGCGUGGAUCACGCACUUGUAUUUCGGGGAUAAUUACGAAAAAGCGUAUCUAAUACCGGAUGAUAUUCUGUACCGUAGGGUUCAAUAGAAAAUUACGGCCUUGGGGGAUCGACUAGAUGGUUACGCGCUGCAUUAGCUGGUUGGUAAGGUAACAGCCUACCAAGGCUACGAUGCGUAACCGAGCGGAGAGGGUGAUCGGCCACCCUGGAACUGAGACACGGUCCAGAGUCCUACGGGAGGGAGCAGUAGGGAACAUGAGGCAAUGGGCGAAAGCCUGACCCAGCAACGCCGCGUGAGUGAUGAAGGCCUCCGGGUCGUAAAGCCCUGUUAUGAGGUAAGAACAGAUGUGGACGAAGACGUAGCGAUCUUGACGGUACCGAAUCAAGAAGCACCGGCUAACUACGUG
rnacentral:rRNA from 1 species